GCAAAUAGCGUGCUGCUCCAAGGGCAAAGCCUGUCCCUCUUUUGGCUGGACACCUUUCUGUGCCAAGAGGCUCUGCCAGGCAGCAGGAGCAGUGCUGGGCUGCUUCCUGGCAGGCCCCUCCAGCAGGAGAACGCUUGCUGCGCUGGCAUCGAGGUUUUCCACAGCAAGAUGACCAUUUUGCUGUCAAGUUCAGCAAAGAAGCAGUGUCCUGGGGAGCUGCACGGCAUUGCCCAUUCAUGCUGCACUUGAUGGAUAGCAAAGAGAACAGGAGUGCACCAUCCAAAAGGGCAGCAGGGCUGCCUUCCCAUUAAUAUUCCCAUGGAGUGUUUGUAGGAAGGUUUG
rnacentral:lncRNA from 1 species